AUGGAUGGAUGUUUCAUGGGCAUCCUGUGUCCGACUCACCUGCUCUUCUUCGGCUUUAGGGAGGGGUUCCCGAGUUCAGGGUGUACUUCUGAGUGGAGCGUGUUACUUCUGAUUGAGUUGAGUUUCGUCCGCUGUAUUACUGCUGUAACUUCACAGCAGCAAAGAAACAGCGUCAUGGUUGAGAAGAUGGCUGCUCCGCCAAAUGCAUUUUCGAGCGAGUUACAGAAGUGGAUCUACAACCGUUCUGUAGGCUCUAUAUUUUUCAUCACUAUCGGACCAAAAGCAUCUGCAAUUAAUGCACUUAUAGCUCUUAUGAACAAAGUAGAGACUGUUCCUGCAGAAAAAAGAGCUGCGGAGUUAGACCUCCGAGGACAAAAUUGCACAGGCGUUGUAGUGGAGGAGGCAGAUGAUCAUCUUAAGAUCUUAACAUGUGCCCAUCUUAUGCAACACGUAUUCAAGAGUUCAGAACCCCUUUCGCUUAAAGAUGCUUGUUCGCUUUUUUCUGUAAGAGUGUUGUGUGAUCAUUACGAGCAGAGCUUCCGCGGGCAAAGCAGGAUAAGAGCAAGAGUUUAUGCACCAGCUUCCAUGAUUGGCAUCAAUUGCGAGAAAGACCUGCUUCUUCUUCAUGUAUACCGACCAGAUAUUAAGAAUUUGGGCAGAAGAUGUACCAACAGUCAUCAGGGCUUGAUUCUUAGUCCAACUCCUCCAGAAGCUUUCGACAAGUGCGCAAUGAUUUCAUGGCCUCCUGGCCUACCUCGAACAGCUGUUGAAGGAUCAAUUUCUCACCCUUCAAGAACAGUCCGUGACUUGGAACUUGUGAACACUGUUGGAUACACAAUGAACCUCACUCAAGUAGUAAUAGCAAGUGAAAAAGGAAGCUCAGGUGCUCCGUUGUUAGAUGGUAAUGGGAGAAUAAUUGGAUUGUUGCAUGGCGGUUUUGGAGGGCAGUUUACAUACUUUAUCUCCCAUGCUGAUAUCGGAUGUUUUCUGAGGCGACAUCACGUGGGAUAUGAGGUGUUAUUUGAUCAUCCUACAGCCCUUGUUCCCUCCCGAUCUCCUGUUGUUAUCCCAUCCACAAUUGCUGCUCGAACUGCUGUUAAACAACAGUCAGGUUCAUUAGUGCUGCUCUGUUACCGUUGUGAAAACUGA
rnacentral:rRNA from 1 species